rnacentral:rRNA from 1 species
UACGUAGGGCGCAAGCGUUGUCCGGAAUUAUUGGGCGUAAAGAGCUCGUAGGCGGCCUGUUGCGUCCGCUGUGAAAUCCCGGGGCUUAACCUCGGGCGUGCAGUGGAUACGGGCGGGCUGGAGGCAGGCAGGGGAGAACGGAAUUCCUGGUGUAGCGGUGAAAUGCGCAGAUAUCAGGAGGAACACCGAUGGCGAAGGCGGUUCUCUGGGCCUGUUCUGACGCUGAGGUGCGAAAGCUAGGGGAGCGAACGGG